UAUGGUCAAUAAAAUAUCUGAGAUCAAUUAAAGAAAUAAAACGAGCACAAUUGUUCUGCUCUGCACAAAAAUACACGGAGUUAGCUUGGUGGCUAACAUGCUAAUCCCGGAAGAGGAGGGACCGUCAGACGGAAGCGCUGUUUGAUCGUCUCUCCUGGAGGUUCAGGUUCUUUACAGGCAGAAUGAAGAGAGAUUUAGACCUCUGUGGGAUUCCGCAGAUUAUAUUUUUUCCAAGAAUACAACACAGGAACAAGAAAAAUGAAGAAUUUUACCUCUUUCCAAGAAGCCAACUGCUGAGCCGUGACACCGUUGAGGCUGAUUUGGAUGUAGAGACAGAAGAAUGAACGAGCUGAAUUCAAUCCAAGGACGAUGUGAUAAUCCUGAGAUCAAAGCGAGUGUGGGACAGCUGGAGCAAAGUAGAAAAUUUGAGCCAUGUGGAUGAGGAUUUGCUGUUUCAGAUGAAGGUUUUCAUUGACCAGCUGGUUUUAAGAGCAGGGAGUGAUGUGGAGAAAAAUAGAACCAGCUGGAUGAAGAUUUGCAGCUGGUUUUAGGAGCAGGUAACAAUGAAGAGACUGAAAACUUGAACUGGCUGGAUGAGGAUUUGCUGUCAUUUAGAAUUAACCAGCCACAGUUGAUUUCAGCUCUACAAGACAACAGCUGUCCUGCUGAUGAUCUGUUUUUUUUUAACGGUUUCUCAACACCUUUUUAUUUUUUAAAUAUAUUUCUGCUGCCUUGGAGCCGACAGAACACACCAGAGUGAGGCCACUACCAGUUGAUGGGAUCCGUAAUUUAUGUUGUCAUGUUGGAUUUGCUGAAUAAACAGUAACUGAUUGUUGAA